CCAACGUCAAGGCGAUAUGUUAAGGGCUGCGUUUGGGGCCUGUAACAGUGGCCUCUCUUUUCAAAGAGUCCAGUUAACCUACGGGGAGUUCAGGUGAAGCUCUGGUCACCGGGCCAACAGUCUGACCUUGUACGGCACCGAGUGAAGCUGGGCCCUCCUGCCACCGAGGCCCAGCUCCCAGCCAAGGAAGGAGUGAAAAGCCAGCAGGGCUGAGAAGGUGGCCCAGCUCCUCCUUGAAACUGACCCCAACACAGGCUCCCAGGCAGGGUCUGGCGGUGUUUCCUCACCGGCCCGGGAACCUCUGGUCCCACUCCAGGCCUCUGUUUAGAAUCCACGAUGCUCCACGGCCCAGCCCGGCCCCUGCGCAGGUGGCUGUGUCUCCCUCCGUCCGAGGACGCAGCAGCCCACCGCCCUUGCCCACCUCCUGCCACCAUCCCCCGUCAAUGGUGGGAAGCGAGGAGGAGCAGUGCUAUGGCCCCGGAGGCGUGUCCACUCACCAGGACCUGGUCGGGCACCGCGUACUUGGCGAUCUUAGAGGCCACCACUGACCGGAGCUCCUUCACCACCACGUCUGCGUCACCCGCGUCAUCUUUCAACACGAUGAAGGCGAACGCAGCUGGAAGGAGAGCAGAGGUUCAGGUGCAUCAGACCACGACCCACCUCCCGGGGCAGCAUGUUUCACACAAAUCGCCAUAUAUCCAAAGGGGCUUUAAAUCAUAGGCUGGUGACCCUGUGGCAGCUGGUCUCUUUAGCUGCAGCCCCGAAGGUGCAUUUCCAUUUUCAUUCAAGGUGGAAGUGACUCCACUGGCUCCUCUGGCGCCUCGGGUGGCGGGCACGUGUGCAGAGACCCUGGAGCCGUGACUCACCUCUGUCCGCACACCCGUGACACAGCCGUGACGUGGGCUGUAGAAGACUCACUCUCCACCCCGUGCGACAGGUGUGGAAACACCGCCCAGGCACUAGUCUCUGGGCACGUGUCCAGCCUGUGGGCACCAGCCACGUGGCUAUUUAAAGCCUCCUCACCCAAAAUCUCCACUUGAGAGAGACGUGAACCAGCAGCCUGACCCACAAGAAAGCCCUGGUCCCCGCCCACCAAGUCUGCUUCUCCUAUAGGAGCCCUGGCCCCAGGGCCAGGAGGGUCCUCGGGGGACACGCACCUUCUCCCUUGAUGUCGUGGGGGUAGCCGAUGACGGCAGUCUCGGGCACUGCAGGGUGGUCAGCCUGGGCACGACAGAGAACGCAGAGGUGAGGCAGCGACUCAGCCAAUGACGACCACCCCAGACCCCAGGCAGCGGCAGCCGGUGGCAGUGCAGGACACGGAGGCCGGCUGGGCUCACCAUGGCGUCCUCAAUCUCCGCCGUCCCCAGCCGGUGGCCGCUGAUGUUGAUGACAUCGUCCAUCCGCCCCGUGAUCUGGUAGUAGCCGUCCUCGGUUCGGUAAGCCCCGUCUCCUGUGAAGUAGUAGCCUGCACCACAGAGGGGGGAUUCAGCACCAGCUCCGAACUGGGACCUAGCAGGGCUCCCAUCCUUCCAUGACGGACACCCCCUGGACAGGAGGAAGCGCCAAAGCCCCCCUGCCGACGCAACCCCCACCCCGAUGGAGACACCUCUCCGGUGCUGCUAAGCUGGUGCCAGUAAAGGGCAGAGGGGCUGCCAGACAGCAGGAGGCUGCGAACGCCUGGAAGCAGAAGAUACGAGGAGCCCACUCGAGCUUCCCCAGGGGUGAGUGUCGCUGACAUGCUUGCGAAUGCAGAGCAUCGGUUCCCAGCGGCACACGUGUACGUGAACUCCCACCCAACGACACGACACAAGCCGGGAAGACGACGACACGGAGACCGGGGGGAGGCCUGGAGCCACCGCGAUUGUCGCCAAGGCGGCGUCUUGCUCUUCUCCUGGGAGCCCAUGGCCUGAGUCCCUGGGAGAACCCCGAGCUGGACCACUCCUGGCUCAGAGGUAAGGAAGGGAGGGAGCGUUCACGCAACCCCCGGCCCCUCGGAAAUGGUUCUGAGACCGAGUCCAGCGGUGGCAGGAAAGGCUCACCCGGGUAGGCCUCGAAGUAGGCGUCCAUGAAUCGCUGGUGAUCUCCGAAGAUGGUCCGGGCCAUGCCUGGCCAGGCCUGGGACAGGCACAGAGACCCGGACACAUCUCCACCCUUCAGGACAUUUCCCUGCAGACCCAGGAGAUGGGGAGACAGGAGUGACCAUCUCGCGUUCUCUGAACUGCCAGGCCCGACGCAGGAACAGGACAAGUGCCCCAGAGGGAGCUGCCCGGAGCUUUCUCCUCUGAGAGGAGACCCUGCGGUGGGUGCCGCGCGACGGGGCAGGGCAGCCGAGGCCAGGGGGGCGGGGCACGUGGACGGGGAGACUCACCUUCUCGUCCAUGAGAACAGGGACGAUGCCAAACAAGGGCCUCAUCGCCAUGCAGGGCAGGAUUUCUGCCCCCUCCUCCGAGGGCCGCGGCGAGAUGCAGAUGCCCCCCGUUUCUGCGGGCGGUACAGGAAGAAACACCAGUGGGCCUGAGGCUACUGACACGUGUAUCCAGACCAUAUGGACACAGGGUCCACACACACGGCUGCUCUCCAGAGUGGGAGGGGGUAGACCUGCCCGUCCGGGGCAAGGAAACAGCCCCCAGUGACAAAAGGACCUCUGAGGAGAAACCAGGCUUGGGUGCCGGUCCCCUCCACUGUGGAAAUGAGAGCGGGCUGGGGGCCAGGUUCAGCUCCAGGAGCCACGGCCCCCAUCUCGUGCUGUGGGGACACAGGGACGGCGGAAAGGAGGGCGGAGGGAAAGAACGCCCAUGUGUCCUGCCCCCAGGCAUUCCUCUGGCUCCGGCCUCCAUCAGCCUGCAUGGGAAGGGCCCCCCCCCAAGACUCUGCUGUAGGGAACAUCCGGGGCCUUCCUGAACCAUGAGGCCCGCGCCACUGGGAACGUCUCACUUUCUGGCUUCUUGAAGGACGAGGCCUCAGCCACGUUUAUUACGUCAGUGGUGGUCUCUUGCCCCCAAAAUCCUGAUAAGUCAGACACCCCAGAGGAGGGGGGCAAAUCAAAACACAGUGGUGCAGAAAAAACUCCUUUCCCUCUAGAUCCAAAUCUAGACUCAAGAUCGCUUAAACAGCAGGACCCAUCACUGGGCCGCACCGGGUUCAGGAGGUGGGCCGCCAAGGAAGGGAACCUUCGCGGGGCCCUGUGUCGCCCCUCCGCCCCCUCCCGGGCCCCACCUUACAGACGAGGAAACCGAGGCUCAGGGAAGCCUUUGCACCCAUGUCUCACAGCUGCAGAGCGGCAGCUGCUGCCCUGAGCUUCCUCUCCCCACACACCAGGCACCCGUUGAGCUGACGCUCUGCGCUCCCUGCCCCUCCCCCGGGGACGUGCUCACCUGUCUGCCACCAGGUGUCCACCAGCGUGCACCGGCUGUCCCCCACCACCCUGUGCAGCCACUCCCAGGCCUCCUGGUUGAUCGGCUCUCCCACUGCAACCACACGAGAGAGAGAAGAUGUUAAGAGACCUCAAAAAGGCUGAAACCAAAAGGAGCUGAUUUCAUGACGAAAACAGCUCUAUAAUUUUCCCAAAAGACACAAAAGGAGACUUGAAAAAGCAGUGAGAUCAUCAGGUUUAUGGCUAUGGAAGAACACAAAUGACAAUGAGAUAUUUUCACCAUCAGAGGGUCAAAAACCAAGAAGUUGGCAAGAGUGUGGAGGAAACAACACCACACACACUGCUGGAGUGCAGUUUGGAGAGCGAUUGGAGUGUUUCUCUUCCUGUUUAGAAGUGCACACACCCGUUGCAACUGCUUUGGACGCCUGCUGGUGACGGAACCCACUAUAAAGCCAGACACACUCGUCCUGUGACUGGAGGAGGUCGCUCCAGGCACCCACCCCCAGAAGCAGACACGGACGAGGAUGUUCCCAUGGCCAAGAGCUAAAAACUGUCCGUGGAGAGGAGAAUGGCGAAGUGAAUCGUGGCACGUUCGUGAGGGACCACCACCGGCCAAGGCAUGAAUUGUCCCAGGUGCAGGAACCACCAUGCUAUUCACCCACCUGCCAGCACGGCUCACUGAUCCUGAUGGAAGAAACAUCCACACGUCGAGGUGCGGGGAAGUCAUUCUGGCUCACACACCAUUUAACUCAGACCUUAUGCUAACUGGAACAGCCUGCCCAACAUACACUGCACAUCUGCAUUAAUCAUUAAAGAAAAGGGCACGCUGUCCAGAAGUAAAGAAUGUCUGAAGAUAGAGAUAAAUGCCUCCCUGGGACGCCAGUGCUGGGACUCCUUUGAUGAUAAGACUCCCUUCCCAGAGCCAAGGCUAUACUAACUCUCUGUGUACGUGCUGAUCUGCUUUUUUGAAACCUUGAAGGAAUGUAUCCCUGACUUGUUUGAUGUUCUUUGUCCUGAUAAAACUGCUGAAAACCAUGCUUCUCUGGAGCAGUUCCCUUAGAGCUAUAGUCCUCAGCUUGGUUUGAAUAAAAUUCUCUUCUAUUCUUAUUAUA